GUCCUAAGGUAGCGAAAUUCCUUGUCGGGUAAGUUCCGACCUGCACGAAUGGCGUAAUGAUGGCCAGGCUGUCUCCACCCGAGACUCAGUGAAAUUGAACUCGCUGUGAAGAUGCAGUGUACCCGCGGCAAGACGGAAAGACCCCGUGAACCUUUACUAUAGCUUGACACUGAACAUUGAGCCUUGAUGUGUAGGAUAGGUGGGAGGCUUUGAAGUGUGGACGCCAGUCUGCAUGGAGCCGACCUUGAAAUACCACCCUUUAAUGUUUGAUGUUCUAACGUUGACCCGUAAUCCGGGUUGCGGACAGUGUCUGGUGGGUAGUUUGACUGGGGCGGUCUCCUCCUAAAGAGUAACGGAGGAGCACGAAGGUUGGCUAAUCCUGGUCGGACAUCAGGAGGUUAGUGCAAUGGCAUAAGCCAGCUUGACUGCGAGCGUGACGGCGCGAGCAGGUGCGAAAGCAGGUCAUAGUGAUCCGGUGGUUCUGAAUGGAAGGGCCAUCGCUCAACGGAUAAAAGGUACUCCGGGGAUAACAGGCUGAUACCGCCCAAGAGUUCAUAUCGACGGCGGUGUUUGGCACCUCGAUGUCGGCUCAUCACAUCCUGGGGCUGAAGUAGGUCCCAAGGGUAUGGCUGUUCGCCAUUUAAAGUGGUACGCGAGCUGGGUUUAGAACGUCGUGAGACAGUUCGGUCCCUAUCUGCCGUGGGCGCUGGAGAACUGAGGGGGGCUGCUCCUAGUACGAGAGGACCGGAGUGGACGCAUCACUGGUGUUCGGGUUGUCAUGCCAAUGGCACUGCCCGGUAGCUAAAUGCGGAAGAGAUAAGUGCUGAAAGCAUCUAAGCACGAAACUUGCCCCGAGAUGAGUUCUCCCUGACUCCUUGAGAGUCCUGAAGGAACGUUGAAGACGACGACGUUGAUAGGCCGGGUGUGUAAGCGCAGCGAUGCGUUGAGCUAACCGGUACUAAUGAACCGUGAGG
rnacentral:rRNA from 1 species